UUUCUGGCAAUGCAGUUUGCUAGAUUUCAUAGAUUUACUGUGUCUGCUUUUUUAUGACUGACAUAGCAAUAACCAGAUUGCAAAGAUAUUUAUGUUGUUUGUGGCUUAGCAAGAUAAUUAAAGGAUAUAAAUUAAUCAAGUGCAAUUAAUUAGAAACUUUAUGUUCGCAGCAGUCCUUCUUUGCAUGUAUAAUUUAUAUUUAUUGAUUUCCUGGCUUUCAUUAGCCUAUGAGAUAACAGCAAAAAAUGCAUUAGAGAAGAAAAUGUACAAUUAGCGUGAGAGUGAACCUUGGCAUAAUGGAUAGAUCAGCACAUGUUUGGGGCAAAUAUAAAGCUUUGUUAACUGUCAUAAGCAGUUACAAUUGAUGAGUGGUAUUUCACUACAUAUCUUUCAGCUGAUUAACGGCAUUUUUAAAGAGUCCCCUUAAUGGGAAGCUGAUAGGUUGGCUAAAUUUACAUUUUAAUCAGAGUAUUUGUGAUGGAGGCAGCCCUAGAAAUUCAUUGGCAGAGGGCAGGAGAUGUUCCCUGAGGGACUAAGGUAGGGAGGAGGCUGUGGAGGGUGUCAGCUCACCUAUUCCUUCUCUCGUUAUUUGUCCAAAAGUGUCAGGGUGGGGAGGGGCAAGAACCCUAAUGGCCUCCUCAUAACUGGCCCCAUUCUGAUUAAUCUUCAGGAGAAAGGGCCAGAUGUGUGAGAUGCCAGAAGAAGGGAGCCCUGAUCACACUCUGUGUACAGCGGAUCUCAAGCAUUUCCACCAAGGACUCCGCCUAGGAGGGAGAGAUAGCUUGUCUUGAGGAAGGACAAUGCCCUAUGUGAAUCUACUUCUAUUUCCUAACUGGAUUGGGAGCCAAACCAACAAGCUCCAAAAAGAUCACACAAGAGGCCCCAGUGCCGGGGCCAGAGGGCCACCUAUUCAUGCCUAUGGAUCCAGAGCUACCAUUUUAAACCUAGAGGCAGGGCCCCCUCCUGAACUGUAAGCCAUUAAAAAAGUCAGAUUCAUUCAAGCAAGAACAGAAGUUAGGUUGUGGAACAGAGAAAACUUUUCAAAAGAAGUGAAAAGUAGAUCCUCAUGUAAUCAUCCCUUCUUUCUUCAAAAUAGGCUGAGGCAGUUCUCUGGAAUUCCCAGAGAAGACUGAAAUGGAAUCUUCUAUUACCCUUCUGAGCAAUUACAUGUCCAGGAGUCUUUGAGAAGGAACACAAGCUAUUUCCUAAAUAUAUAUCUAUUUCUAUAUCAUGAGGCCUGCUGGGGCAGAUUGGGUGUCUUUGUUGGUUAAAAGAGACUACCUAAGAUGUUAUCAUGGCAGCACAUAACAAAAACACAUCAAGUUUGGACAAUUAGUGAGGCUGUAGAGUGGGAUUCAUGUCUGGCUGGUGAAGUGGCCCUUACUGGGCCUCUCUGUAGGAGAGGACCUAUUUCUUCUUGUCCUCACAUGGAGAUGAGACAAUAGGGCUAGGCAGCCAUGUUCUAUGCUUAGUGGCAAUUCUCAACAUGGUCCUUAUACUAAAGAAUGCCAGGAGGCCCUCUUUCUGGAAAGAAAAACAAAAGAAGGUGCUCAUUCCUGAUUCAGAGACAAACCAGGGAGAACUUCAGUUAGUUCAGAAAAUGCCUGGAACAGAGUGAGACUGGGGGCUUGGCCUUUUCUCCAGCAAGGACAAAAACCAUUGUCUUCAGUCUCACCAAACACCCUUCCCUCUCCCUUUCAUUUUGGUUCCCGUGUAGUCUGAGCAUUCAAAACCCCCUCUCCUAUUUCCUGGUAGAAUCCCAUAAGUGUGGAUUGAAUAUUGACAGAAUCUUCCAUGUUUCUUCCUGCCCUAGGGCAAUUAGAGUUGAAUUAUGUACACCAAAGUCAGGCUAUAAAUAAGAAACUAUUUUUCAUUUAUCUCAAUGAGAAGAAAUCCUUAUUAGACCCUAAACAGAAGAAAUGAGCGAAUAUGAGAUUAAUAUAAGUGAAGGAGGCUAUAGUUUCUGCUUUGUGUGGUGAUAAACCCUUUUUUUCCUUUUCAUACUAAUUAUUGUUAUCAUUAUUAGUAUUAUUUUACCCCUCAAUUGCCUUCGGAUGUUAUCCAAGAGGAAGAGCUUUAUCGGUUGGUGAAAGCUCCACAGUAUUAUUUAUUUCAUGUAAUAAAAUGUAUGUAAUGAUCAUGA
rnacentral:lncRNA from 1 species